UCAUGGAGGCAGCCAUUUUGAAAUGAACAGGAAACGCCUUUCUACUGCCUCUAGUGGGCUGAUGAUGAACUACAGGGUAGAAAACAUGAAUAUCUUAUGUUGCUUAAGGAGGAUAGUAGGAAUCUCUGAUAAGACUUUGCAGCAUAAAAAGUAAGAGCUUGAAAGUGGCUCUGAAACUAUGCGCACAUCAGCCUCAGCAGCAAGCAUUCAAGUGAAUGGAUAGUCUAUGUUUCAAUCCCUUCCUCCACCCCCUUUCUCUCAGAGCUCAAUGGCUACCAGCAGGUGCGAGGUGCGGAUGAAGAGGAGGACGAAGACGAAGGGGUGCUGGGAUCUGUCUUGCUGCAUUCCCCGUUGCUUGUAGAUGGCAUUUCUACAAAUAAACAGAGAACAUGGAUCCUAAUAAGACUUGUG